AAGGUUUUAAGUUAAACAAACUAGUAGCCUUCAAAGUUAAAAAUAAAUCAGAUUUAAACCUUA
rnacentral:tRNA from 1 species